UAGGGAAUCUUCCACAAUGGGCGAAGGCCUGAUGGAGCAACGCCGCGUGUGUGAUGAAGGGUUUCGGCUCGUAAAACACUGUUGUAAGAGAAGAAUGACAUUGAGAGUAACUGUUCAAUGUGUGACGGUAUCUUACCAGAAAGGAACGGCUAAAUACGNGCCAG
rnacentral:rRNA from 1 species